rnacentral:rRNA from 1 species
GACGAACGCUGGCGGCGUGCUUAACACAUGCAAGUCGAACGGAAAGGCCCCUUUGGGGGUUCUCGAGUGGCGAACGGGUGAGUAACACGUGCGUAACCUGCCCUUGACUUCGGGAUAACUUCAGGAAACUGGGGCUAAUACCGGAUAGGAAUCCUUGCUGCAUGGGGGGGGUUGGAAAGCUUCGGCGGUUUUUGAUGGACUCGCGGCUUAUCUGCUUGUUGGUGGGGUAGUGGCUUACCAAGGCUUUGACGGGUAGCCGGCCUGAGAGGGCGACCGGCCACAUUGGGACUUAGAUACGGCCCAGACUCCGACGGGAGGCAGCAGUGGGGAAUAUUGCACAAGGGGCGGAAGCCGGAUGCAGCAACGCCGCGGGCGGGAUGACGGCCUUCGGGUUGUAAACCGCUUUCAGAAGGGGCGAAGCUUGUGGUGACGGUACCUGCAGAAGAAGCACCGGCUAACUACGUG